GACGUGACUUCUAGAGUUUGAUCCUGGCUCAGGACGAACGCUGGCGGCGUGCCUAACACAUGCAAGUCGAACGGGGUAGAGAGCUUCGGUUUUCUACUUAGUGGCGAACGGGUGAGUAACGCGUGAGAAACCUGCCUUUCAGUGGGGGACAACAGUUGGAAACGACUGCUAAUACCGCAUAAUGUUAUUUGGGGGCAUCCUCGAAUAACCAAAGAUUUAUUGCUGAAAGAUGGUCUCGCGUCUGAUUAGCUAGUUGGUGAGGUAACGGCUCACCAAGGCGACGAUCAGUAGCCGGUCUGAGAGGAUGAACGGCCACAUUGGGACUGAGAUACGGCCCAG
rnacentral:rRNA from 1 species